UACGUAGGGCGCAAGCGUUAUCCGGAAUUAUUGGGCGUAAAGAGCUCGUAGGCGGUUUGUCGCGUCUGCCGUGAAAGUCCGGGGCUCAACUCCGGAUCUGCGGUGGGUACUGGCAGUCUAGAGUGAUGUAGGGGAGACUGGAAUUCCUGGUGUAGCGGUGGAAUGCGCAGAUAUCAGGAGGAACACCGGUGGCGAAGGCAGGUCUCUGGGCAUUAACUGACGCUGAGGAGCGAAAGCAUGGGGAGCGAACAGG
rnacentral:rRNA from 1 species